rnacentral:rRNA from 1 species
GCUUAACGCGAAGAACCUUACCUGGCCUUGACAUCCAUGGAAUCCCGAAGAGAUUUGGGAGUGCCGCAAGGAACCAUGAGACAGGUGCUGCAUGGCUGUCGUCAGCUCGUGUCGUGAGAUGUUGGGUUAAGUCCCGCAACGAGCGCAACCCUUGUCCUUAGUUGCCAUCAUUAAGUUGGGAACUCUAAGGAGACCGCCGGUGACAAACCGGAGGAAGGUGGGGAUGACGUCAAGUCAUCAUGGCCUUUAUGGCCAGGGCUACACACGUGCUACAAUGGCAAGUACAGAGGGAAGCCAACCGGCGACGGGGAGCUAAUCCCAGAAAACUUGUCUUAGUCCGGAUUGCAGUCUGCAACUCGACUGCAUGAAGUUGGAAUCGCUAGUAAUCGCAGAUCAGCAUUGCUGCGGUGAAUACGUUCCCGGGUCUUGUACACACCG